GUCCUUCACAUAAAUUGGCUGCCACUGCCGAGCCUGCCUAACUACAAAAAAUUGAACGAGCCGUUCUUGGGCUUGGAGUACCAACUCUGGAAACCCCUUAACUUAAAUAAUCAAGAGGAGUUGCUCUUUUUGCAAACGUUUGGCAAUGCCUCCAUGACUUUCCCUUCCCAAACCCAGAACGGUUCCUCCCCUUUGUUCACUCCCGAAGAUGAAGAUGACAAGGCAUGGUUGCGCUAUUCCAUAAACAACUUUCUCAACUUACUGUGGCUUUCAUCCUUUCUGAUUCUUGUAUCGAAACCCUUGUUUUCUUUCAUUCUGGUUUGCUUUGUUCUCCACGGCCAUUGGACCAUUGUUGGACUCCAUUUCUUGAGGUUUCAAAACGGCGUUGUUGAACCAGUAUUCAAGAACUGUUGUUAUCGUCUUUUCGUUGUUUAGAUGAUGACGUUGAUGAUAAGGAUGAUUAAUUUGUUUGCCCAUUAAUUCGGCAAGGUCAAUGCCUCAAUUGUAAAUCCAUUUUUUGUGGUUAGUAUGGUGGGGGUGGUUGAAUCGGUGGGAGCGAUAGCGAGAGGAGGUAGCAAGGGAGAUGAGAGGAAGAAAAGAGGAAAAAGAGAGCGAAG
rnacentral:misc_RNA from 1 species